CGAGCGGACUUGAUGGAGAGCUUGCUCUCCUGAUGGUUAGCGGCGGACGGGUGAGUAACACGUAGGCAACCUGCCUGCAAGACCGGGAUAACCCACGGAAACGUGAGCUAAUACCGGAUAUCUCAUUUCCUCUCCUGAGGGGAUGAUGAAAGACGGAGCAAUCUGUCACUUGCGGAUGGGCCUGCGGCGCAUUAGCUAGUUGGUGAGGUAACGGCUCACCAAGGCGACGAUGCGUAGCCGACCUGAGAGGGUGAACGGCCACACUGGGACUGAGACACGGCCCAGACUCCUACGGGAGGCAGCAGUAGGGAAUCUUCCGCAAUGGGCGAAAGCCUGACGGAGCAACGCCGCGUGAGUGAUGAAGGUUUUCGGAUCGUAAAGCUCUGUUGCCAGGGAAGAACGUCCGGUAGAGUAACUGCUAUCGGAGUGACGGUACCUGAGAAGAAAGCCCCGGCUAACUACGUGCCAGCAGCCGCGGUAAUACGUAGGGGGCAAGCGUUGUCCGGAAUUAUUGGGCGUAAAGCGCGCGCAGGCGGUCAUUUAAGUCUGGUGUUUAAGGCCAAGGCUCAACCUUGGUUCGCACUGGAAACUGGGUGACUUGAGUGCAGAAGAGGAGAGUGGAAUUCCACGUGUAGCGGUGAAAUGCGUAGAUAUGUGGAGGAACACCAGUGGC
rnacentral:rRNA from 1 species